UACGUAGGGGGCAAGCGUUGUCCGGAAUUAUUGGGCGUAAAGAGCGCGUAGGCGGUCCGGUAAGUCGGCUGUGAAAGUCAAGGGCUCAACCCUUGAAAGCCGGCCGAUACUGUCGGGCUAGAGUGCGGAAGAGGCGAGUGGAAUUCCUGGUGUAGCGGUGAAAUGCGCAGAUAUCAGGAGGAACACCAAUUGCGAAGGCAGCUCGCUGGGACGUAACUGACGCUGAGGAGCGAAAGCGUGGGGAGCGAACAGG
rnacentral:rRNA from 1 species